GGAAGUAAAAGUUGUAACAAGGUCUCCGUUGGUGAACCAGCGGAGGGAUCAUUACAGAGUUGCAAAACUCCCAAACCAUUGUGAACGUUACCUAUCCCGUUGCUUCGGCGGGCGGCCCGGGCCCCGCGCCCGGCGCCCCCCGGCCCCCCGUGGGCGCCCGCCGGAGGUAAACCAAACCCUUGAAUUGCAUGGCCUCUCUGAGUCUUCUGUACUGAAUAAGUCAAAACUUUCAACAACGGAUCUCUUGGUUCUG
rnacentral:misc_RNA from 1 species